CCUACGGGGGGCGGCAGUAAGGAAUAUUGGUCAAUGGGCGCAAGCCUGAACCAGCCAUGCCGCGUGGAGGAAGACGGCGCUAUGCGUUGUAAACUUCUUUUGUCAGGGAAUAAAUGUAGGUACGUGUACUUACUUGAAGGUACCUGAAGAAUAAGCAUCGGCUAACUCCGUGCCAGCAGCCCCGGUC
rnacentral:rRNA from 1 species